UCAGUAGCCGCGGGAAUACGGAGGAUCCAAGCGUUAUCCGGAAUCAUUGGGUUUAAAGGGUCCGUAGGCGGUCUUGUAAGUCAGUGGUGAAAGCCCAUCGCUCAACGGUGGAACGGCCAUUGAUACUGCAGGACUUGAAUUAUUGGGAAGUAACUAGAAUAUGUAGUGUAGCGGUGAAAUGCUUAGAGAUUACAUGGAAUACCAAUUGCGAAGGCAGGUUACUACCAAUUGAUUGACGCUGAUGGACGAAAGCGUGGGUAGCGAACAGGAUUAGAUACCCCGGUAGUCCCUGUCUCUUAUAC
rnacentral:rRNA from 1 species